CCUACGGGAGACAGCAGUGGGGAAUAUUGCACAAUGGGGGAAACCCUGAUGCAGCGACGCCGCGUGAGUGAAGACGUAAUUCGUUAUGUAAAGCUCUAUCAGCAGGGAAGAAAAUGACGGUACCUGAGUAAGAUGCCCCGGAUAACUACGUUCCAGAAGCCGCGGUAAUACGUCGGGGGCCAGCGUUAUCCGGAUUUACUGGGUGUAAAGGGAGUGUAGACGGCAGUGCAAGUCUGGAGUGAAAGGCGGGGGCUCAACCCCCGGACUGCUCUGGAAACUGUACGGCUGGAGUGCAGGCGAGGUAAGUGGAAUUCCUGGUGUAGCGGUGAAAUGCGUAGAUAUUAGGAGGAACACCAGUGGCGAAGGCGGCUUACGGGACUGUAACUGACGUUGAGGCUCGAAAGCGUGGGGAGCAAACAGGAUUAGAUACCCUUGUAGUC
rnacentral:rRNA from 1 species